AUGACCAUAAACAGCACAGGGUUUACUGCAAAUUGGGGUUUAGAUUCAAAUUUCAGCAGCCGUUGCAAUUCACUUCUUGCUCUUACAUUUUCAAUCGUUUUCUCCCUCACCUUUUUAAGAAGGAGAGGAAUCCACGGUGAGCAUCCGCAGAGCCUGCACCAUUGUCUCGUGGUUACACCACUGUGUGCAUCACUCGCCGGCCUCUUCGCAUCAGCACAGCAUGGGGAAAACACUACACGAAGUUCCUUCAUUGUCCUUGUUGAAGUUAACCUGCACAGGGAUGGGUGCUGCCCUGGAGGAGAAAGGGGAUUAGCCCCUCAGAAGGCUCUUCAUCCGCAGAGAUCUGCAGGAGUCUCGAAAAUCCUCUAGGGUAGUUCUCCAUCUGUGGUAAGUGGAGAGAGGUGUCAUGGGCUCCUUCUGAAAGGUCUGGGAAAAUAACCAAGAGAGCAAACCU
rnacentral:lncRNA from 1 species